rnacentral:tRNA from 1 species
CCCUGAGUAGUGCAAACAGUUAACAUGCUUGGCUGCUAACCAAAAGGUUGGAGGUUCAAGUCCACCCAGAGGCA